ACUGGAAACGUGCACGUGGGACGUGGCUGCCCGAAAAAAGUAGAACAGCAAAUUAAAUCACAAAAAUGUGGUCGUUGUGUGAACUAUAGUGUCCUAGCUUUUGCCUCGUACAAACUCUGUGCUGCUCAGCAGGCCUGAACAAGCCAACAGAAAUCAUCACAACUCAUUGCCUGUGCUGCAAGUUUCUCUCAUGCUGGUAUUGACCUGCAGUAGCAAUUUCAGUAUCAUCGCUUGGACAAACACCUGAUUGGAGAUACUACCGAUGCUGCUCGAGUGUGACGGAUCUCUUCUUCCCCUUCCUCUAAAUCUCCUCUGUCCUCGUGUACACCCAUGAGAGUGUGGGGGUAUUCACGAG